rnacentral:rRNA from 1 species
CCUGAACGCUGGCGGCGUGGCUAAGACAUGCAAGUCGCACGGUGUAGCAAUACACAGUGGCGAACGGGUGAGUAAUGAAUCGCUAAUGUACCCCGGACUCUGGGAUAGCUAGCCGAAAGGUUAGGUAAUACCAGAUGAUAUAUCUUUAUCGCAUGAUAGAGAUCUCAAAGGUCCGCCGGUCUGGGAGCAGGCGAUUUCGUAUCAGCUAGNGGUGAGGUAACGGCUCACCAAGGCGACGACGCGUAGCCGGACUGAGAGGCUGGCCGGCCACAUUGGGACUGAGACACUGCCCAGACUCCUACGGGGGGCUGCAGUAACGAAUCUUCCGCAAUGCACGAAAGUGUGACGGAGCGACGCCGCGUGUGGGACGAAGCCCUUCGGGGUGUAAACCACUGUCAGGGGAUAGAAAGUUCUGAUCAUCCCCAGAGGAAGGCACGGCUAACUCUGUGCCAGCCG